CUAUACAUUCAUAUACAUGUACAUGCCUGCGUGUAAAGUUUGUGCACAAUGAGAAAUGGCUUUAUUUAUUAUUUUUAUUGUACUCAUUUUCAUUGUACUCUGUCAGUCACCUAUUCCUUUUCUUUCUCUUUAUUAAAAUUCCAUUACUUCUCCUUCCUCCUAUUCUCACUUGUCACUCAUUCUCUCUCCCUCCUCUCUCUCAGUCUCUCUAUACAAGACCACCUACCACUCCAUAUCUCUUAUACUCAUCCUCUUCGACUAAUUCCAUACACUCAGUACUGGACACUGGCAGACUGGUCCAUUGAAAGGGACAGUGGUUGUCAUGGCUUACUCCUCCAAAGUUACCAGCUCUUUACUACUAUACAAUACCUCCCCCUUUCUUAGUAUCUCGUACUGUAUUAAUUAAUUUUAUUGAAGACCUUAACCAAAUCAAGUUAUGGUAUACUGUUACUGUUCUUAUGGGGUACCCAAUGUAUGCUCCUUUUCAUCAAAGAGGAAGAAUGACUGUUGUUAUGGCAACUGUACAUGUAUACAUGUACAUCCAUGAAGAGAUACUCAAGAAUAUUUUACAUUUUUUGUCCUUUAUUGCCAUAAUUUUUCUUUGAUAAAAUCAA